rnacentral:tRNA from 4 species
UCUAAUGUGGCAGAUAAGUGCGGUGGAUUUAAGCUCCACAAAUAAAGUAUUUAAACUUUCUUUAGAA